UCAAGCUACUAAGGGCGCAUGACGGAUGCCUUGGCACUGGCAGGCGAUGAAGGACGUGAUAAGCUGCGAUAAGCGUCGGGGAGUGGCAAAUACACUUUGAUCCGGCGAUUUCCGAAUGGGGCAACCCAGCCCGUUUUAUACGGGUUACCGUGCACUGAAUACAUAGGUGCACGGGGCGAAACCCGGGGAAGUGAAACAUCUCAGUACCCGGAGGAGUAGAAAUCAAUCGAGAUUCCGCAAGUAGUGGCGAACGAACGCGGAACAGCCUAAACCGGUCAGUUUACUGGCCGGGGUUGCGGGACCUUAACAUGGUAUUGUCGAUGGUUAGCUGAACGCUCUGGAAAGGGCGACCAUAGCAGGUGACAGUCCUGUAAGCGAAAACCUGAAGCAGCCUAUAGGUAUCCCAAGUAGGGCCGCACACGUGAAACGUGGUCUGAAUCUGGGGGGCCCACCCUCCAAGGCUAAAUACUCGCCAGUGACCGAUAGUGAACCAGUACCGUGAGGGAAAGGUGAAAAGAACCCCGGGAGGGGAGUGAAAUAGAACCUGAAAUCAUGCGUCUACAAACUGUGGGAGCCUUACGGGGCGACCGCAUGCCUUUUGCAUAAUGAGCCUGCGACUUACUUUGUACGGCAAGGUUAAGCUUUAUAGUGAAGCCGAAGCGAAAGCGAGUGUGAAUAGCGCGUUUUAGUCGUGCGGAGUAGACCCGAAACCGAGUGAUCUACCCAUGGGCAGGAUGAACCUCUGGUAACACAGAGUGGAGGUCCGAACCAUUGCGUGUUGAAAAACGCUUGGAUGACCUGUGGGUAGGGGUGAAAGGCCAAUCAAACUCGGUGAUAGCUGGUUCUUUCCGAAAUAGCUUGAGGGCUAGCCUCAAAUAAGAUAGCGCACGGGGGUAGAGCACUGAUUAUUCGCGGGUCCUUACCAGGAUACCAACAAUUGUCAAACUCCGAAUACCGUGUUGCCGUAACUUGGGAGUCAGACUGUGGGGGAUAAGCUUCAUAGUCGAAAGGGAAACAGCCCAGACCGCCGGCUAAGGUCCCUAAUUUGGACUAAGUGGUACUAAGGAGGUGGAAUUGCAUAGACAGCCAGGAUGUUGGCUUAGAGGCAGCCAUCAUUUAAAGAGUGCGUAAUAGCUCACUGGUCGAGUGAUUCUGCGCCGAAGAUGAUCGGGACUAAGUCCAAAACCGAAGCCGCGGAUGUCAUUUCUUCGGAAAUGAUAUGGUAGGAAAGCGUUGUGUACCGGGUUGAAGCGGGAAGGUAACUGACCGUGGACUGUACACAAGUGACCAUGCAGGCAUGAGUAGCGAAAAACCAGGUGAGAAUCCUGGUCACCGAAAGCCUAAGGUUUCCUGGGGAAGGUUCGUCCGCCCAGGGUUAGUCGGAUCCUAAGGCGAGGCCGAAAGGCGUAGUCGAUGGAUAACAGGUUAAUAUUCCUGUACCGAAUGGUUUUAGCGAUGGAGGGACGCAGUAUGCUAGGCGACCCGGCGAUUGGAAGUGCCGGGCUAAGGCUGCAGGGUGUCGGGUAGGCAAAUCCGCCCGGCGUGAGCCCGAGAGCUGAUGGGACUGAGAGUCUUCGGACAAUCGGGAUUCGUUGAUGCUAUGCUGCCAAGAAAAGCUUCUAAGCGUUUGACGACCAUUCGUCCGUACCGCAAACCGACACAGGCAGGCAAGGCGAGAAGCCUCAGGUGCGCGAGAGAAACCACGUUAAGGAACUCGGCAAAUUAGCCCCGUAACUUCGGGAGAAGGGGUGCCCCAUUAGAGUGAAGGCCUUCGCGGCUGGAGCUUGAGGGGGUCGCAGCGAAGCGGCCCAGGCGACUGUUUAGCAAAAACACAGCACUCUGCUAACUCGCAAGAGGAUGUAUAGGGUGUGACACGUGACCAAUGCCGAAAUGUCAAAGGGAUCUGUUAUCCUUCGGGAGAAGCGGUGAACUGAAGCACCGGUGAAUGUCGGCCGUAACUAUAACGGUCCUAAGGUAGCGAAAUUCCUUGUCGGGUAAGUUCCGACCCGCACGAAUCGUGUAACGAUCUGGGCACUGUCUCAACGUGGUUCUCGGCGAAGUUGUAAGUCCGGUGAAAAUGCCGGAUACCCGCAGUAGGACGGAAAGACCCCGUGAACCUUUACUGUAAUUUGAUAUUGGCGUUUGGUCUUUGAUGUGUAGGAUAGGUGGGAGCCUUUGAAGCGGUGUCGUCAGGCAUCGUGGAGGCAACCUUGAAAUACCACCCUUUAACGGUUGAGCGUCUAACCUGUUUCCGUCAUCCGGAGCAGGGACAUUGUCAGAGGGUCAGUUUGACUGGGGCGGUUUCCUCCCAAAGCGUAACGGAGGAGUUCAAAGGUGUACUCAGCAUGGUUGGCAAUCAUGCGUGGAGCGUAAGGGUAUAAGUGCGCCUUACUGCGAGACCGACGGGUCGAGCAGUUGCGAAAGCAGGACCUAGUGAUCCAGCGGUGGAAUGUGGCAUCGCCGUUGCUCAUCGGAUAAAAGGUACUCCGGGGAUAACAGGCUAAUACUGCCCAAGCGUCCAUAGCGACGGCAGUGUUUGGCACCUCGAUGUCGGCUCAUCACAUCCUGGGGCUGAAGAAGGUCCCAAGGGUUCGGCUGUUCGCCGAUUAAAGUGGUACGCGAGCUGGGUUCAGAACGUCGUAAGACAGUUCGGUCCUUAUCCACUGUGGGCGUAGGAUACUUGACGGGAGCGUUCCCUAGUACGAGAGGACCGGGAAUGAGUGACCUCUGGUGUACCAGUUGUUCCGCCACGGAGCAGCGCUGGGUAGCUACGUUGCGAAAGGAUAAGCGCUGAAAGCAUCUAAGCGCCAAGCCCCCUCGAAGAUGAGGUAUCCCUUUGUGCCUCGGCACAACUGAAGGCCCCCGGAAGACGACCGGGUUGAUAGGCUGGGAGUGUAAGACCUGUAAGGGUUUCAGCGGACCAGUACUAAUCGGCCGUGAGGCUUGACCAC
rnacentral:rRNA from 1 species